UACGGGGGGGGCAAGCGUUGUUCGGAAUUACUGGGCGUAAAGGGCUCGUAGGCGGCCAACUAAGUCAUACUUGAAAUCCCUCGGCUUAACCGGGGAACUGCGUCUGAUACUGGAUGGCUUGAGUUCGGGAGAGGGAUGCGGAAUUCCAGGUGUAGCGGUGAAAUGCGUAGAUAUCUGGAGGAACACCCGUGGCGAAGGCGGUUCUCUGGGACGGUACUGACACUGAGGAGCGAAAGCGUGGGUAGCAAACAGG
rnacentral:rRNA from 1 species